AAAAAUUAGGGAUAUAAAAAAAAGAGUACACCCGGUGAGUCGAAAACCCAAAAGGGCGGCUCAGGCAAAAAUGGGUAUCCCGGUGGAUUGAAAACCCGAAAAGGGGGCGAUCCAGGCAAAAGUUAGGGAAUAAGCGAAUGACUGUGAUCUGAGUUCAUCAGUGUUAUAUCACCGUUUCAUUCAAUCCGGCAAUCUUCGAAGGUUAAAGAUCGAC
rnacentral:lncRNA from 1 species